AACAUGAUCAGCAUGCACCGCAAAGACGCGCACCCUAGGUGUGUGUGACUGCUUAAAUGUAGUCUCAUUCGUGCCCACUGUACCCCUGGGUUAAAAUGUUGAAUUGAAUAACCUUUUCGCUGCACUCCCAUUGAAAGCGCAUGGAGGAAGAAAAAAAUAAGGAAAAACAUAGAUCCGUCACACUUUAAACAGUUUAGUGAUGAGGGCAAAGAUGAAGGAAAAGGUGUAAGACCCCAUUUGUUCUUAUCUAAAACAUGUCAUAUCACAUCAGGCGGUUAGUUAUUCAGCCACGCAAGGCGUGCUCGCAGCUGUGAUCUGCGGUCGCGACCCGUCCUCUGAUUGAUACGAUUCCGUAUCGGACAUGUGGCUGACAUUGAGUUUGGCUGGUGAUGCGAGGCACAAUGAAGUUAAAACCCGGGGAUGGGGAGCCCAAAGCGAUCCGACCCACAACGCCGUCUUCCUUGAAGCACCAGAGACAUUUGCCUAUGACAUCCCCCAGUCUUUAUCGACCAGUGAGGCAUGGGCUCAGCAAGGGACUUGGCCGCGUUUGCUUCGGCUAGAGAUUGUGUCUGGAUGAGAACCUACCUCUUCGUCAAUCUUGAUUGAUGGUGGCAUAUACUUCCUCCAGAGGUUUGGAAAGCCCUUGUCUACAUCUUGUACAGCACACGUCUGUUUAUGUAGAGACAACCUCUCCCUUUGCAUCCUAAUCCCACAUCCGUUUUCAAAUUGUAACUUGGCUAUGAAACAGUGAAUGACUAUGUAGAUAGGCCAAGAGCCAUCUAGAGAGAGAGUUGCGCCAACAUAAGAUGUUUUUCAGCUAGUUCGAAUAAGGGCUUGGCGGGCUAUUUGAAUAUGACUUUAAUGCGUAAAUAUAGUAAUAGAAUUGGGAUUUCUAGAAAUUACGAGUCAAAGUAAAGUAUAUUUUCUAAUAUUUGAAGACUAAUGUGCAAGCGUUACCUACCUUGUUUGAAAGUUGUAUGUUACAUUGGUUAAAGAGCUUGUGUCUGUGUAUUGCUUUGUAUGGAUGAAUAAAAUAAAUGGAAUAAACUCAGAAACAUGAAUAGCCUGCCAAGCAGUCUGUCUGUGCCCUUUUCACCGUGUGGUCCUUUUCCUAUUGUCUGCUGGGCUGCAUGGGGAUGCUCCAAUCUCUCUGAGUACGGAGCACAAAGGUUCCCCACUGACAUGGAGAGGAGGUGAAAAAAUUGUUGGCUUAAAUAACCAGCAACAAUCUAACUAUAAUCUAAGAUUACAAAAACAA